CUGCCCUUUGUACACACCGCCCGUCGCUACUACCGAUUGGAUGAUUUAGUGAGGUGUUUUGACUGGCGCCAGUAGUCGGAUAUGUAUUCGGCUUCGCGCCGGGAAAUUUCCCAAACCAAAUCAUCUAGAGGAAGUAAAAGUCGUAACAAGGUUUCCGUAGGUGAACCUGCGGAAGGAUCAUUA
rnacentral:ncRNA from 1 species